UACGAAGGGGGCUAGCGUUGCUCGGAAUUACUGGGCGUAAAGCGCACGUAGGCGGUCUUUUAAGUCGGUGGUGAAGUCCUGGAGCUCAACUCCAGAACUGCCUUCGAUACUGGAAGACUCGAGUCCGGGAGAGGUGAGUGGAACUGCGAGUGUAGAGGUGAAAUUCGUAGAUAUUCGCAAGAACACCAGUGGCGAAGGCGGCUCACUGGCCCGGUACUGACGCUGAGGUGCGAAAGCGUGGGGAGCAAACAGG
rnacentral:rRNA from 1 species